rnacentral:rRNA from 1 species
CCGAGAGAGCUAAGAGAUAAUAUAGUAAACAAUUUCCACCAAGUGCUUAAGCUACUUUUUUCAAGGCCAGUCAGGUGACUGGGCCAAAUCAAUAAUAAGGAGCUUAGUGUUUUAUUAUGUGAUUUGAGCUGAUCUAGGUUCUUAUUUCUUUCAAGCUAUAAUUUAUGAUAUACUGGUUAGACCUACUGAUACGGUGAAAGGGUAAAUCUGUUUUGUUGUACUUAAUUUUGGUGCAUUGUAUUUUUCUUAUCGACAUUCCUCAACAUAAGUUAAUUCUAGACUCGCAAACUCGCAAUUCCUUGAAUCUGCUUAUCGGUGGCUGUGUUGACGAUGCGAUCCUUAAUGGUUCAAUUUUAUUUAGGAGAAGAAGAAGGUGCCGAAGGGAAUGAGCAACAAGUCUGAAUGGACGGUUAGUUAAUUAAUGUGCCCUCACUGGUUGUGUUCGAUAGGACGGGCCAGGGAAGUGCUUUCGGUUGUUUCAAGACUGAGCUUGAUAAAACGACAGAAUCCACUAUUCCUAAGAUCAAACCAUGUAACCUUGCAAAUAUUGUACUACAGCCCAAAGCUAUUGGGAGUGGUGACAUCACAGGUUUCCAUUUUAUGAAGAAACCAUCAAGCUUGAUGAGGCAUUUAGGUGAGGUCAGUACAAUGCUCACUUGACAAGGAUUCAUGAAACGACGUCAGGUUUAGGUCAGGUUGAGAAAGGAGCACGGCAGCAACAUGUAAAAGCCUUUCGAAGUUGUGAAUGAGAGAAGAGCAAGCACCUAUGUCGGCGAGGAGAUCCUCGUCGCGGCCGUGGCAGGGCGUCUGUGCAGCUGCACCUGUCUUGGGAACAGCACGUCGUCGUGGCCGUCGUCGAGUGACUCGGCGACCUCGUCGUCGCGGCCGUAGUCGGAUGCCUCGGCGGCUGCGCAGGGCAGCGACGUCGCGGCCGUCGUCGGUGCGGCCGUCGUCGGAUGCCUCGGCGGCUGCGCAGGGCAGCGACGUCGCGGCCGUUGUCGGGUGCCUCAGCGGCUGCGCAGGGGCAUGUAAUCUGGACGUCGAGCCUGGAUUGAUUCCCGCAAAUUGAGCUUAGUUGUUUCCAUGUUGUUUUCCGUGUAUGACUCUCCGUGUAUUUUGGGCGUGGGUUGUUUACUGAUUAUUUUUUUGAGAAAAGGACGUGGGUUUACCUGUACACUCGUGCGGGCGUGGGUUGUUUUACGGGCAGAGUUUUCGUCCGCUGGCCUGAACUUCUCU